rnacentral:rRNA from 1 species
GACAGAGGGUGCAAACGUUGUUCGGAAUUACUGGGCGUAAAGCGCGUGUAGGCGGCUAAGUAAGUCGGGCGUGAAAUCCCACGGCUCAACCGUGGAAGUGCACUCGAAACUGCAUAGCUAGAGUCCUGGAGAGGAAGGUGGAAUGCUUGGUGUAGAGGUGAAAUUCGUAGAUAUCAAGCGGAACACCGGUGGCGAAGGCGGCCUCUGGACAGUGACUGACGCUGAGACG